UAUAAGCAGGAUGGGAAAGGGAAUGCGUGU
rnacentral:piRNA from 1 species